rnacentral:lncRNA from 1 species
GGGAAUAGGGAGACAUGGCGGCAGAAGGAAGGAAAGAAACACAAGAAGAGAGAAGGCUCAAGAGAAAAGGCUCAAUCACACAAUGAGAGAGGAAUUAAGGUUUUGAGAGAAUGUGUUGAGAAGAUGAGAAAAGAAGCACGUUAAAUAGAAGAAAAAAGUUAGUCAUGGGCGAUUAAUCAGUCUCGUCCAUUUAAUGUGGUUAGUACGGAAGCAUUCAGAAAAGAGAUUUUGCGUCUCUUGAAUACCUAGAUGAUUUUGAGAAGAGUGUUAGUAAGGAGUGGAUAAAAGUGGGAAGAGCGACAAAGUCAAUAGUUUAGGGUUUUAAGGAGGAGAGAGAGACGUUUAAGAGGAUAGAAAAGGUAAUGGCUUGAUUGACACGCGAAAGAUUUAGACAGAUAGGAGAGAGAGAGGGUUUGGUCUUUGGAAAUCCUAGAAAACUUCUAGAGAUGGGCUUAGUAUUUGACACACCUAAUGUAUGGAUGCAGUUGUCUGAUAGACGAUUUGUCUUAGACAAUGCAACACUAUGACAUCUUGUGGACUAUGUGUCCUAGACGAUUAACUCUCCAAACGACUAUAUGAACACAC